GACGAACGCUGGCGGCGUGCCUAACACAUGCAAGUCGAACGGACGAGAUUUCUUCGGAGAUCGAGUUAGUGGCGAACGGGUGAGUAACGCGUGAGCAACCUGCCUUUCAGAGGGGGACAACAGUUGGAAACGACUGCUAAUACCGCAUAACGUAUCGAGGGGGCAUCCUCUUGAUACCAAAGAUUUAUCGCUGAAAGAUGGGCUCGCGUCUGAUUAGCUAGUUGGUGGGGUAACGGCCCACCAAGGCGACGAUCAGUAGCCGGACUGAGAGGUUGAACGGCCACAUUGGGACUGAGAUACGGCCCAGACUCCUACGGGAGGCAGCAGUGGGGAAUAUUGGGCAAUGGGGGAAACCCUGACCCAGCAACGCCGCGUGAAGGAAGAAGGCUUUCGGGGUUGUAAACGUUCUUUUACCAGGGACGAAGACGUGACGGUACCUGGAGAAAAAGCCACGGCUAACUACGUG
rnacentral:rRNA from 1 species